GUGGGGAAUCUUAGACAAUGGGGGCAACCCUGAUCUAGCCAUGCCGCGUGAGUGAUGAAGGCCUUAGGGUUGUAAAGCUCUUUCAGUGGGGAAGAUAAUGACGGUACCCACAGAAGAAGCCCCGGCUAACUCCGUGCCAGCAGCCGCGGUAAUACGGAGGGGGCUAGCGUUGUUCGGAAUUACUGGGCGUAAAGCGCACGUAGGCGGAUCGGAAAGUUGGGGGUGAAAUCCCAGGGCUCAACCCUGGAACUGCCUUCAAAACUAUCGGUCUGGAGUCCAAGAGAGGUGAGUGGAAUUCCGAGUGUAGAGGUGAAAUUCGUAGAUAUUCGGAGGAACACCAGUGGCGAAGGCGGCUCACUGGCUCGGUACUGACGCUGAGGUGCGAAAGCGUGGGGAGCAAACAGGAUUAGAUACCCGAGUAGUCC
rnacentral:rRNA from 1 species